UAACACGUAGAUAACCUACCCUAAUGUGGGGAAUAACCCCUCGAAAGAGGAGCUAAUACCGCAUACGCUCUUUGGUGAUAGCCAGAGAGGAAACCUUGGCCGUAAGGUCUGGGGCAUAAGGAGGGGUCUGCGGCGGAUUAGCUAGAUGGUGGGGUAACGGCCUACCAUGGCGACGAUCCGUAGCUGGUCUGAGAGGACGACCAGCCACACUGGGACUGAGACACGGUCCAG
rnacentral:rRNA from 1 species